GGUCCUGGGCCAGACUGCUGAUUAUAGCCUUCAUUGUUUGGCAUGUUUCGGGGCUGAAAAUUUCCAGUUCCACUGUUUGGAGGCACUCCUCCUCCCAUAUAAUUUGGAGGUGGAGCGCCACCUCCUAAGUUAUUCUGCUGCAUCCCUCCCAAAUUAUUCUGAGGCAUCCCUCCCAUACUAUCUUGUGGCAUUCGCCCCAUAUUUGAUGGGCCUCCUCCCAUAUUUGAAGGACCUCCGCCCAUAUAUUGAGGGCCUCCAGGUCCUCCCAUAUUUUGUGGGCCUCCCAUGCCAGGUGGCCCUCCUCCCAUAUUUUGUGGGCCUCCCAUGCCAGGUGGCCCUCCCAUAUUUUGUGGGCCUCCUCUCCCUGGCGGCCCUCCUCCCAUAUUCUGUGGACCUCCCAUCCCAGGCGGCCCUCCCAUAUUCUGUGGGCCUCCCAUGCCAGGUGGCCCUCCUCCCAUAUUCUGUGGGCCUCCCAUGCCAGGUGGCCCUCCUCCCAUAUUCUGUGGACCUCCCAUUCCAGGUCCCAUGUUCUGUGGGCCUCCCACUCCUGGUGGCCCUCCCAUGUUAUUAGGACCAGGACCUUGCCUGUUCUGCUGCAUAUUUUCUCUUUUUCGUUCAAAGUUUCUUGAUCUAUCAAAGUUGCGAGGUCGGUCAUUGCGCCUAUUUCUC
rnacentral:lncRNA from 1 species